CUUCAGCUGAGUUUCUUCCCGUUCCCUUCCUCCCUGAAUCUUCCACCUGCCUUCAGUCUGAUUGCAGCAAUGAGAAUCAGCUGCCGUAAUUGGCUCACACCAGUCACCUGUUUGCAAUUCCACCUCCCAGCAUAUAAGCCAGCUCUGUCAUUCACUCUCUGCUCCACCAUGAGCUCUGAUGGCCUGCGUCGACUCGUGACCACCAGAGCUUCUUGGACACGACUCUGCCCUUGUACCCCUGCCGGUUCCUGUAUGGGUUUCCUACCUACCCCUUCAGCUGAGUUUCUUCCCGUUCCCUUCCUCCCUGACUGUUCCACCUGCCUGCAGUCUGAUUGCAGCAAUGAGAAUCAGCUGCCGUAAUUGGCUCACACCAGUCACCUGUUUGCAAUUCCACCUCCCAGCAUAUAAGCCAGCUCUGUCAUUCACUCCCUGCUCCACCAUGGACGUGCACAUCCUGCGUCGACUCGUGACCACCAGAGCUUCUUGGACACGACUCUGCCCUUGUACCCCUGCCGGUUCCUGUAUGGGUUUCCUACCUACCCCUUCAGCUGAGUUUCUUCCCGUUUCUGAUUGCAGCAAUGAGAAUCAGCUGCCGUAAUUGGCUCACACCAGUCACCUGUUUGCAAUUCCACCUCCCAGCAUAUAAGCCAGCUCUGUCAUUC
ensembl:lncRNA